rnacentral:misc_RNA from 1 species
GAUGAAGAACUUAGCGAAAUGCGAUACGUAAUGUGAAUUGCAGAAUUCAGUGAAUCAUCGAGUCUUUGAACGCACAUUGCGCCCCCUGGUAUUCCGGGGGGCAUGCCUGUCCGAGCGUCAUUGCUGCCUCAAGCACGGCUUGUGUGUUGGGCCUCCGUCCUCCUCCCGGGGGACGGGCCCGAAAGGCAGCGGCGGCACCGCGUCCGGUCCUCGAGCGUAUGGGGCUUCGUCACCCGCUCUUGUAGGCCCGGCCGGCGCUUGCCGACACAUCAAUCUUUUUUCCAGGUUGACCUCGGAUCAGGUAGGGAUACCCGCUGAACUUAAGCAUAUCAAUAAGCGGAGGA